rnacentral:rRNA from 1 species
AUUGAACGCUGGCGGCAGGCCUAACACAUGCAAGUCGAACGGUAACAGGGAGCAGCUUGCUGCUUCGCUGACGAGUGGCGGACGGGUGAGUAAUGUCUGGGAAACUGCCUGAUGGAGGGGGAUAACUACUGGAAACGGUAGCUAAUACCGCAUAACGUCGCAAGACCAAAGAGGGGGACCUUAGGGCCUCUUGCCAUCGGAUGUGCCCGGAUGGGAUUAGCUAGUAGGUGGGGUAACGGCUCACCUAGGCGACGAUCCCUAGCUGGUCUGAGAGGAUGACCAGCCACACUGGAACUGAGACACGGUCCAGACUCCUACGGGAGGCAGCAGUGGGGAAUAUUGCACAAUGGGCGCAAGCCUGAUGCAGCCAUGCCGCGUGUAUGAAGAAGGCCUUCGGGUUGUAAAGUACUUUCAGCGGGGAGGAAGGGAGUAAAGUUAAUACCUUUGCUCAUUGACGUUACCCGCAGAAGAAGCACCGGCUAACUCCGUG